UUUAUUUAUAAAAUUGAUGAAUGAAAAUUAUAUACAGUUGUCCUUCACUAUUCAUGGGUGAUUGGUUCCAGGAAACCCCCCUCCCUACCAGACACCAAAAUCUGCAGAUGCUCAAGCCUGUUGCAUGAAAUGGCACAGCGUUUGCAUAUAACCCAUGCACAUCCUCCUGUAUACAUGAAAUCAUCUCUAGAUUACUUAUAAUUCCUGAUACAGCCUACACACCACCUCACUUGUGUCCACACAAUAUAGUAUUUUUGCUUUUUGGAACUUUGUGGAUUUUUUCUCUGAAUAUUUUUGAUUUAUAUUUGGUUCAAUAAACACCUGUAAACCCCACAGAUAUGGAGGAGCGACUGUAUAUUUAUAGUAUGAAAGAUGAUGUGUUGACAUUCCAGGCUGUCUCCCCAUCUCAAGGUCAACUCAUCAACAACCUGAGCUCCACCUUCCCCUUCAGUCCCCUGCCCUAUAACAUAAAUAGUCACAGGCUCCAGGGUUUACAAUGUAGCCAUCAUUGGCGACAGUUAUUCUUCCCACCACAGCACCCAUUUCCCCUGUAUUCAAUCUCCCUUGACCCCAAAUACAGUUGGGGCCUGGGUGAUGGGACCCUGAUGGACACCCCCACCAGAAGCUCUGGGAUUCAGGAGGUGGGACAGUGAGAAGCCCAGACAGAAA
rnacentral:lncRNA from 1 species